rnacentral:rRNA from 1 species
UACGAAGGGGGCUAGCGUUGCUCGGAAUCACUGGGCGUAAAGGGUGCGUAGGCGGGUUUCUAAGUCAGAGGUGAAAGCCUGGAGCUCAACUCCAGAGCUGCCUUUGAUACUGGAAGUCUUGAGUAUGGCAGAGGUGAGUGGAACUGCGAGUGUAGAGGUGAAAUUCGUAGAUAUUCGCAAGAACACCAGUGGCGAAGGCGGCUCACUGGGCCAUUACUGACGCUGAGGCACGAAAGCGUGGGGAGCAAACAGG